CCUGUCUCACGAGAAGGGCAGAGAGUAGUGGGUUUCUUUAUCUAUAAUAGUAAUGGAAGAAUGGAAUCAUUUCAAGUCAUUUCCUGUAAAAGAAACAACAGCUGACGUCCCUCUGAUAUAAACUGUACAAUAAUGCUUCCUCUGCUUGUGGAAUGGAAUACCCAUUCCGUACGAGCCUGGAAUACAGACACAUCAUUCCACUGUUUUCUGUUUGUUUGUUUGUUUUUAACUUUAUGAACGACAGUAUUUUCAGCUUCAGGCCAUAUAUUAUUCCAGCUCUUUCUUUCAUUCCAUGUCAGGGACAUAGCUCCGGUGUAAAGGUUGCCAUUGUCCUCCUGUCUAUGGGAUUGCCAGUGAGCCUUGAGACAGAAAGCUGCAGAGUCGCAGACAACAGCAUGGGGCUAUCUCCAAGCUGUAGCACGAUCCGCAUAUCCCUGCUCUUCCUCAGCGAGGAAGCUGAUUACCUUUGUGCUCUGCCUCAUGCUUUGUGCCCAUGUGUCUUUUCAUACUCCCCUUCCUGUAUCAUUUCUCCCUAUUCCUCUCAAGUUUUCUUUCCCAUUCUCCUUCCUCAUAAUGCCUUCUUUGUAGUCAGACUCCACUGCUCCUGGGCCUUGUUUUGGGAGGGCUCAUUCAUUAUUACGGCUCUAAAAGAAAACCUCUCAUUGCUUCAACUACACAAUUUCCUGCCUCCAUUUUCUGUCAGCAGAUACAUUAUAGCCCAUUUUCUACCAAAAGUAGGUACUAUUACAUACAUUUUAUUUGAGAUGGAUUUAGCUGUUAUGCAAAUAAUUAGUCGGAUAUCUCUGCUUGGCAAUUUAUUCAUCCAGGGGUGAAUUAAAAAUGCGUGCCGUGGAAUUUUCUGGAAAAAAAUUUAAUGUCUAAAACUUAACAGUAUGAAAACAAAGUUGACAGUUCUUUGUUCUUUAGUGAAGGGAAAAGAGAUGAGGCAAUAUUAUUGAAGAGAUGAAGAGUGGCUAGCUGAGAAAUAGACAAAGGGAAAGUUGAAAAGAGAAAAGCUACAGGGAAAGGAAGAAAGGAAGGAAAGAGGACACCUAGGAUAAAGGAAACACUGUGAAAGAGCAGAUGAAUGGAGGACAGGAGAGGGGCAGAGAGAGGCAAGGAGGAAAGGCUGGGUUUCCAUAGCAGCGACAUCAGCGUUAAGUUCUGUUUGUGAUGCUGCAGUGACAACUUCUGAAACCCUUACUCUGCUUGGACGAAGGCUCCAGGAUGCAUCUCUUGUCUCUCGCCUUUCUGAUGUUCAUGUUUGACAGCUGUCUACCACAUGGGCUUUUUUGUUUGCUUGUUUGUUUACGUUCCUCCUGGAGCACUGUAAUUAUUAACCCGUUCUUUUGAGCCAGAAGUUUUCUUCCUCUUGCCCAGAGCAAGUUUUUGUAGUUGAAUAAAACCAACCAACCAACAACCAAACGAAAGUGAAGGAUAGUUUAGGAAGCACUAAAAAACGGGAACACUUGGAUACCUUCUCGUCUAAGCUCAUUGCCGUGUACGUGGCGUUUGCAAUAAAUCUCCUUCGACAAAGUCCUGGCCACCGGAAGCCUUUCAGAGAUCUAGUAACCCGUUACCUUUGGCGAGUAAGGAAGGAGCCAUUGAGGAUGGCUAAGAGCUGAGCUAUGGCGAUGUGAUGUCCUAUGAGGAUCACAAGAACUCAAGACUCAAGAGUUUUAACACUGAGGGAAGAACACUUUGCCCACUUGUGGUUAUCUAGAAGGAUGGAAAAAAGAAACAUUAGCCUACUGUACAUACAGACAAGAAGGAGAUUGUCAAAUGUCAGCCGGAUAAGGAGACCCAGUCUUCAGGACAGUCAAGUAGCAGUAAAAGGGAACCUGGGAGUCUUGGUGAAAACACAAUUCCUCGGGAAACUGACAGCUACUUCACCCCCAGCAAGGGCUACUCCAAAGCUCUUGCUGUGAGGAUGUAGGCACAGAGUUAGCUUACCUGAUAUAUGAGUUGUGAUACAUGACUUUCAAAAUGUGGCAUCAUUUUAUUUGUCUAGAAUCCUCGUGGAUUAGGUCAUAGGAUGUUUCAUUCAUUGUUUGCAAUUGAACAGGUAUUAAAAUGGAAGAUGCUGUAUAUAAAAGAGAGCAUCUGUCUCACGAGCUUUGAAAAGGUCAACCGUCCUUCCAGGGGCACCUUUAUAUGAGACAUUCCUUUUGUUCUCAUUCAUAAGUGUUCAAACCCCACAUCUUACAUAAUCUUAUUUCAGAGCAACACUGAAAAGAAGGUUAUGUUUCACUCCUUAUUUAAACACAGCUAUAAGAAGAUAUAAAAUGUUAAGACUUUCUGUGCUAAAUAUUUGUAAUGAAAAGCAUUUAUAUAGAAAAGUUAUCAUACAUGAAAUGCUGCAUUUUAUGUUUUAGACCUAAUGGUAAAAUAUGAUGCCUAUGGAGAAGAGCACAAAAUCACACAUGUACAUUUUGGUGAAUGGUGUUCUGUCUGGCUGUGAGUAUGAAGGUGUGUAUACACUUGUGUGGAGGUGAAUGUGGAGGUCAGAGGGGAACCUUAGAGGUCAUUCUUUUGAUGCAAUGUAUUCUGUUUUUAGAAUUAAGGUCUCUCAUUGGCCUCAAGUUCCUGAAUAAGCCAGGCUAUUUGACCAGUGAGCCUACUUAAUCUGCAGGUCUCUUCCCUGUCACUCUGCCUAUACUCACCCACCUCCCUCUCCUAUUUUUUUUUAUUAUUUAAAACAAUUUUUAAAAUUUAAAUGUAUUUUGAUCAUAUCCUUUUUUUUUAAGAUUUAUUCAUUUAUUAUAUAUAAGUACACUGUAGCUGUCUUCAGAUACACCAGAAGAGGGCAUCAGAUCUCUUUACAGAUGGUUGUGAGCCACCAUGUGGUUGCUGGGAAUUGAACUCAGGACCUCUGGAAGAGCAGUCGGUGCUCUUAACCGCUGGGCCAUCUCUCCAGCCCUUGAUCAUAUCCUUAAAUUCCCCCAAAUCCUUCUAGAUUCUUUCCUCAUAUGUACCCACCCAACCUUAAGUUAUUUCUUUUAAAGCAAAUAAAACCCAGUACAAGAUAUCAAAAUAAAAGCACAUCUCAAAAGAGAAAAAACUAUAAAUAAAUAAAACCACACACAUACUCACAUGUAUAUACACAUGCGCACACAUACACGUGCACGCAGACAUCACAAAUAAAACUUAACAUACAAAAUUGUUUGUUCAACUACUCCUAAACAUAAGACCUUAGUGGAAUGAUUGGUGUAUCCAAUGUCAUUCCAUUAGCAAAAAGUGAUGAUCUCUCUCCAGUUCCCUUAUGAAAGCACUUAGUACUAUGAUCACUCUCUUCUGAGCACUGCUUUCGUGUGUCCCGUCCCAUCAGUUUAGGUAUGUUGUGCCUUCAUUUUCAUUGAAAUUCAUUCUUUCUCUCUCUCCCUUCCUUCCUUCCUUCUUUCCUUCCUUCCUUCCUUCCUUCCUUUCUUUCCUUCCUUCCUUUCUUUCCUUCUGCCUUUCUUUCCUUCUUUCUUUCUUUCUUUCUUUCUUUCUUUCUUUCUUUCUUUCUUUCUUCUUUCUUCCUUCCUUCCUUCCUUCCUUCCUUCCUUUCUUUCCUUCUUUCUUUCUUCCUUCCUUCCUUUCUUUCUUUCUUUCUUUCUUUCUUUCUUUCCUUCUCUCUCUCUUUCUUUCUUAACCAAAUGGUUCUUGGGUAGAGGCUUGCUCCAUUUCCAUGAGUUUGUAGUAGGCUUUUUGUUGUUGUUGAAGUCCAGCUCCAUUCCAUGGUGUUUGACAGAUACAUGGGAUUAUGGGGUUAUAUCAAUUUUCUUGUAUCUGUGGGAGAUGGCUUGUGAUUUAGAGGAGGUUCUAUAAGGUUCUGAGAACGAGAUAUAUUCUUUUGUGUUUGGGUGAAAUGUUCUGUAGAUAUCUGGUAGGUCCAUUUGAUUUAUAAUGUCUGUUAAUUUCAAUACUUCUGUGUAGUUGCUGUCUUGAUGAUCUGCCCAUUGGUGAUAGUGGGGUGUUGAUUUCUGGGAAGCCCACAUGUUCCUCCAUUUUGCUUAGCAUGCCAACACAUGGGAGUGCAUGUAAAAGGGAGAAGGAAGAUCUGCUUUUCCCUGGUGUUGGUUAGUUGUACCAGAUGCAGACAGGACUCCUCUUUGAGGCAGGCAAAGCCUUGGGCCUGACAGUGGAACUCAGGAGACAGCAUACUGCUCACCUCUGUUGGAUGUGCCCCUGGUGUAACUGAGUGUUUCUGGUGUCCCCCAGGCUUGCUCAGUAAGAGAGGCAGAGUAGUGGGCCUGUUGACACAGCGCAGAUCUCCUCUGAUGGCUGUGCCCCAGGUGGACCCAGCAGGCUUGGGAUGGGGAGGGGUCUAACCUAGAUGUUCCUAGAGCCCAGCAAGUCUUUUCAGCAGGAAAUUUGAUUGGGCUGGCAACAGGGAACCAUGUGCAGCACAAUUCUCUGUAGUAUAUAUUUCAUAAUUUACUAACCGUGAAACAAUUAAGACAUUCUUCAAUAGGCCAAUGACAUGAACUGUGCUAUAACUAUAAAUUGCAAUAUUAUUUAAGAUCAUAAAGAAAAUAGCUAUGGGAUUACGAGUUACAAAAGGACAGGAAAAAGCUUAAAGAUGCAUUACUAAGGUAAAUAAACUAACAAUAAAAGGCAAAACUCUGUACCAUUCUAAGCGUGUGACAUUUUGGGCAGAAUAAAGUAAAAGAAAAAGUAUUUUUAAUUCCCAAUGUUUGAGAGUGUGGGAACAAAUAGAAAAGCACAGAAUAUUUUAGGGAAAUUAAAAUAGCUCUGUGAUCCUAUUAUAGUAGAUACAAACCGUUCAAUGUUCAUCGGCUUUUGUUUUGUGUUGGUUUAGAGAAGGGAAUGUGCAACAUGGAAAGGGUAACCUAAAAUAAAUCAAGGCCUUUGCAUGAUUAUUUUAGGUCAAUGUAGGCUCAACAACUGCGAUAAGCAUUUCAUUGAAGUUUGGGUAGUGAUAAGAUGAGAGCUCUGUUGUGCUAUAGAUAUGGAGUGAACAGAAAAUCCCUGGUUUCUCCUCCUUUUCUCAGUCCUCUUAUCUUCUAUAAAGUCUUUUAUUUGAAGUAAACAUUCACUACUCUACUUACAUCAUUAAAGGAAGAGGACUUCUAUAUUCUUAUUACCAAGUGUCCAAGUCUCAGAAAAGUAUCUGUAACAAUUAUGAAGAUAAGAAAACACUUCAGAAUGAAUCAUAACAUAACACAAAAGAGAAAACGACAACACAGAAUCCAAGACAGUUUCCCCCUAGCCCAUGUUUUAGUAUAUAUCUAAAUAAAAGUCAUAAUCCUGGAUUUUCAGCCUAUCUUUUAUUAUAUUGAUACCUCCUUCCCUUGCCAUGGUUCUUAGUAUACACCAACAUAGCUGGGAUGGUGUUUGUAUUAUGUCCAGUUCAUUUCUUUCAGACAAAACAUCUCAUAGCUCUUAAUAGUUUUGAUAAUAGUAUAAUUUUUUUCAUUCACUACUUUGCUCACACCAUUUUCUGAAAUUUUUUUUUUCUUUUUCUUUUUUUUCGGAGCUGGGGAUCGAACCCAGGGCCUUGCGCUUACUAGGCAAGUGCUCUACCGCUGAGCUAAAUCCCCAACCCCCUGGAAUUUUUUUUUAAUUUUAUGGUUUCUAUUGCUUUUAAUUUAAGCCAAAAAAGUUGAGUGUUAAGAAAGUAACAUCUCACUUGGUAUUCUUUCUUCACUGCUGCAAGCAACUUGUUUCAUCCUAACCACUAUAACUGAACGAAAUAUUAUUCAAGUAUCUGUGGAAUUUAAUUAUAAUGCUGAGUGCAAAUUCUAGAGAAACACUAUAAUUAUGGCUUCGAUGUGUGGGCUGGUAAGG